GACGAACGCUGGCGGCGUGCUUAACACAUGCAAGUCGAGCGGUAAGGCCCUUCGGGUACGACGAGCGGCGAACGGGUGAGUAACACGUGGGUGACCUGCCUCUAGCUCUGGGAUAAGCCUGGGAAACUGGGUCUAAUACCGGAUAUGACUCCACGGCGCAUGUUGUGGGGUGGAAAGCCUUGUGUGGCUAGAGAUGGGCCCGCGGCCUAUCAGCUUGUUGGUGGGGUGAUGGCCUACCAAGGCGACGACGGAUAGCCGGCCUGAGAGGGCGGACCGGCCACACUGGGA
rnacentral:rRNA from 1 species